AACGCUGGCGGCGUGCCUAAUACAUGCAAGUCGAACGCAUUGUGGUUGAAAUGAUAUGAAGAACUUGUUCAGAUUUGAUUUUCAACAUUGCAAUGAGUGGCGAACGGGUGAGUAACACGUGGGAAACCUACCUCUUAGCAGGGGAUAACAUUUGGAAACAAAUGCUAAUACCGUAUAAUAAUUAAAACCGCAUGGUUUUAGUUUAAAAGAUGGUCUUGCUAUCACUAAGAGAUGGUCCCGCGGUGUAUUAGUUAGUUGGUGAGGUAAUGGCUCACCAAGACAAUGAUACAUAGCCGAGUUGAGAGACUGACCGGCCACAAUGGGACUGAGACACGGCCCAUACUCCUACGGGAGGCAGCAGUAGGGAAUCUUCCACAAUGGACGAAAGUCUGAUGGAGCAACGCCGCGUGUGUGAUGAAGGGUUUCGGCUCGUAAAACACUGUUGUAAGAGAAGAAUGACAUUGAGAGUAACUGUUCAAUGUGUGACGGUAUCUUACCAGAAAGGAACGGCUAAAUACGUGCCAGCAGCCGCGGUAAUACGUAUGUUCCAAGCGUUAUCCGGAUUUAUUGGGCGUAAAGCGAGCGCAGACGGUUAUUUAAGUCUGAAGUGAAAGCCCUCGGCUCAACCGAGGAAUUGCUUUGGAAACUGGAUAACUUGAGUGCAGUAGAGGAAAGUGGAACUCCAUGUGUAGCGGGAAAUGCGUAAAUAUAUGGAA
rnacentral:rRNA from 1 species